GACGAACGCUGGCGGCGUGCUUAACACAUGCAAGUCGAACGGUGAAGCGCCUUCCUUUUUGGUGGGUGUGGAUGAGUGGCGAACGGGUGAGUAACACGUGAGUAACCUGCCCCCUUCUUCUGGAUAACCGCAUGAAAGUGUGGCUAAUACGGGAUAUUCUGGGUCUGUCGCAUGAUGGGUCUGGGAAAGAUAUUGUUUCGGUGGGGGAUGGGCUCGCGGCCUAUCAGCUUGUUGGUGGGGUGAUGGCCUACCAAGGCGGUGACGGGUAGCCGGCCUGAGAGGGUGGACGGUCACACUGGGACUGAGACACGGCCCAGACUCCUACGGGAGGCAGCAGUGGGGAAUAUUGCAAAAUGGGCGCAAGCCUGAUGCAGCGACGCCGCGUGAGGGAUGGAGGCCUUCGGGUUGUGAACCUCUUUCGCCAGUGAAGCAGGCCUGCCUCGUUUGUGGGUGGGUUGACGGUAGCUGGAUAAGAAGCGCCGGCUAACUACGUG
rnacentral:rRNA from 1 species